CCACCUUAAGAGCGCGCUCGCCAGCCUGGGCGGAGCGGCUCCCGGCGCCGAGACCAAUG
rfam:Mus musculus chromosome 6, GRC primary reference assembly.